UUUAGUAUUUGGUCGUAGACCCGAAACCAGGUGAUCUACCCUUGGUCAGGUUGAAGUUCAGGUAACACUGAAUGGAGGACCGAACCGACUUACGUUGAAAAGUGAGCGGAUGAACUGAGGGUAGCGGAGAAAUUCCAAUCGAACCUGGAGAUAGCUGGUUCUCUCCGAAAUAGCUUUAGGGCUAGCCUCAAGUGAUGAUUAUUGGAGGUAGAGCACUGUUUGGACGAGGGGCCCCUCUCGGGUUACCGAAUUCAGACAAACUCCGAAUGCCAAUUAAUUUAACUUGGGAGUCAGAACAUGGGUGAUAAGGUCCGUGUUCGAAAGGGAAACAGCCCAGACCACCAGCUAAGGUCCCAAAAUAUAUGUUAAGUGGAAAAGGAUGUGGCGUUGCCCAGACAACUAGGAUGUUGGCUUAGAAGCAGCCAUCAUUUAAAGAGUGCGUAAUAGCUCACUAGUCGAGUGACACUGCGCCGAAAAUGUACCGGGGCUAAACAUAUUACCGAAGCUGUGGAUUGUCCUUUGGACAAUGGUAGGAGAGCGUUCUAAGGGCGUUGAAGCAUGAUCGUAAGGACAUGUGGAGCGCUUAGAAGUGAGAAUGCCGGUGUGAGUAGCGAAAGACGGGUGAGAAUCCCGUCCACCGAUUGACUAAGGUUUCCAGAGGAAGGCUCGUCCGCUCUGGGUUAGUCGGGUCCUAAGCUGAGGCCGACAGGCGUAGGCGAUGGAUAACAGGUUGAUAUUCCUGUACCACCUAUAAUCGUUUUAAUCGAUGGGGGGACGCAGUAGGAUA
rnacentral:rRNA from 1 species